UUGGUUGUAAGAGCCUCGACCUUCACAAGUUACAGGUGAGGAAGAAGUCCCGCCGCAGUUGGUGUGUGAACGCCGUCGUUGCAAAGCGACAGUAUUUAUCAGUGACAAAACUAGUAUAAAUCCGGUGUCAUCUCGAGUCGGAGUCUCUCUCACACCCCUUCAUUACAAAGGAAAAGAAGCCACCGAAAGGAUCCAGCGACAUUAUUAUUCCGUCUCAACAUGUCCAACUUGAAACUGGUUACAAUAGUUGUAACCUCAUGCCUCCUGUCGCUGUUGAUAUAUAUACGCCCAGACAUCUCUGCCAUGGGAAAACAUGUACGCCCACAAAUCUCUCCCGCGGAACGAACGCCAUCCCUCACAGCGGCCAAAACGCCGUCCCAGUGCCUCCCGCUGCCCAGUGCCGUAAGAGAGAAGGAGGCGCCGAGUAAAAACUGCUCUAGGCCGUUUGCGGUGAUGUUUUGACGGCGGGAGACUCGGGAACCAGAUGUGCCAGUACUUGUCCCUGAUGCUGCUGAGGAAACAGUUCGGGAUCAAGGUAGCCUUCGCACUUUUGCAGUCGCGCAGGUUUU
rnacentral:lncRNA from 1 species